ensembl:misc_RNA 7SK 7SK RNA
GGAAAUGAGGGUGAUCUGGCUGCAACAUCUGUGAUCGCAUUGAUCUCCAGGGUUGAUUCGGCUGAUCUGGUCACUAGGCGGGUGUCCCCUUCCUCCCUCCCUGCUCCAGGUAUGUCCCUCCCAUCGGUCGAAGAGGACGACCUUCCCCGAUAGAGGAGGACCGUUCUUCGGUCAAGGGUAUACGAGUAGCUGCGCUCCCCUGCUAGAACCUCCAAACAAGCUCCCAAGGUCCAUUUGUAGGAGAACGUAGGGUAGUCAAGCUUCCAAGACUCCAGACACAUCCAAAUGAGGCGCUGCGCGCGGCAGUCUGCCUUUCUUU